UCUUGGGGUCCUGGUCUCUAGGCUCAGGAUGGGUGGGUCUUCUGAGCUGGCUCGUCUCGUCGCAGGUGACUACUGGAGCUGACACCCAGCACCGCGGUGGAUCUGCGCGCCCCCUUGCUGCAGCAUCGCCUGGCCGAGCUGCGGAACUGCACUCGCUAUCCCUGGCGCGCUGUGGCCUCACCUAGCUCUGCGCUUUUGCUCUCAGAGGUACUGGAGGUCAGAGUCUGCAGGAUCCUGGAGAGUUGGUGCGAGCUACGCGCAUGACAGCUUGAACUUUCUUGGGGGAUUCCUCUACCAGCCCUUUAGAUCGUGUCGUGCAUGUCACCAGAUAACAAAAUUAAAUAUUCUCUCCAGUGCCCUUUUGGAAUAUUUUGACUUCUCUCCUUAAAAACUGACGAAAAGACCAACUCCUCCCACUGUCAGGAACUAUCUUGUCUUCAGAGUCUGGGAUAAGGGCUUGCAAAUGAGAAAGCUAUCUAUGUCUCUGCGGUCCUUCCACCCUAACGCUCCCAGAGGAGCUUCGUUCCUACCGUUUUUCUAGCCGUCAAAGAGAUUUCUUCAGAGCAAUGACCCAGAAGACUUGAUUAGUGACGUUGUUUCCUGGGCCCCCAAAAUGGCAGCUAAAAUGGAGAUAACUUUGAGUACCUACCCUGAGGAUUCUGACAAGCAAGAGAAACACAUCAUAAUGAAGCUGGAGGAGAAACGUGGGCCCCCCCAGCAAAAAGCCAGCCCCGAUCCUGAGCUUUCCCGCCAGAGCUUCAGACACUUUUGUUAUCAGGAGGUGUCUGGACCCCAGGAAGCGCUCUCUCGCCUUCGACAGCUCUGCAGACAGUGGCUGCAGCCUGACCUGCACACUAAGGAGCAGAUUUUGGAGCUCCUAGUGAUGGAGCAGUUUCUGGUCAUCCUUCCUCCAGAGAUCCAGGCGCAGGUCAGGCAUCGAUAUCCAAUGAGCGGCAAGGAGAUUGUGACUCUGGUAGAAGAUUUGCACAGAGCAUCCAAAAAACCAAAGCAGUGGGUGGCUGUUUGUCUGCAAGGGCAGAAGGUGCUCCUGGAGAGAACAGCAGCUCAGCCUGUAGAACAAGAACUUCCAGACUUUCAGCCCCAAACUCAUAGCAGAGAUAUUCAAGAGCACUCCCUGGAAGAGCCUUCCUGGGAAGGGUCUCAUGCCCAGCUGAGUCCCCAUCAUUGGGAGAAAUAUCCCUUCUACCAGGAACCAGUUCUCAAACUGACUGAGACAGAGGCUUCCAAGACGAGAAGAGACAAGGAAAACCCACAACAGGAAGGGGCAAAAGGAGCAGAGACACAUGCGGUGUCACCCGCAAGAUCCAAAGUGGGUAGUCUGCACGGCCCUGAGCCAAGACGGGUGAGCACAAGUGAACCCCGACUGUCACAAAGGCAGGCCAGACCCCCAAAUGCUCAGAAGGCAUUUGCUCACUACCAGAGGCAUUGCAGAGAACUGGACUAUAUCAGCAACCCCCUCAGAGGCUACCCACUGAGAGAGUUAAAGAAAAGCAAAAGAGGCAGAAGAAGCCUGAGCAGCCUUCUGCAGUGUCUUAGCCACCAGGCAGCCCACGCGGCAAAGAAACCUUACAAAUGCGAAGACUGUGGGAAGAGCUUCACGUGGAACUCAGAGCUGAAGCGACACAAGAGAGUACACACAGGAGAGAGACCCUACGUCUGUGGGGAGUGCGGAAACCGCUUUGGGAGGCAGUCAACUCUGAAACUGCACCAGAGAAUCCACACUGGGGAGAAACCAUACCACUGCAGUCAGUGUGGGAAAAGCUUUCGCCAAAGCUCAAAUCUCCACCAGCACCACAGGCUCCACCAUGGGGACUAGACAGGUGCUCGGUGCUUUAGAGGCCCAGGGAAGGGCGACCUGUCUCUCCUUUCCCUUACUUGCAGGAGCCUUGCAUUACAUGAAGGGGCAUUCAGCUCAGCCCCUGACUGAUGGACAUUAUGGAACUGCACUCUGGCUGAUGUGAGCAGAAUAAUGCUGCUAUGAACAUCGAUAUUUAAGUUUUUAUGUUUCAUUCCUCUAGGGUACAUGCCUAAAGGUUGAUUUGCUAGGUCAUGUGAUAAUUGUUUAACUUUUCUAGGAAACAGUCAAAUGGUUUCCAAAGUGGAUGCACAUUUUACAUUUCAACCAGCAGUGUAUAAGGGUUCCAGUUUCUCCACUCCUUCAACAUAAUUUAUUACUGCCUUUUGUUCGUUUUGAGACAGGGUCUCAUGGCUGGCAUACAACUCACAGGAUUACAGGUGUGAGCCACCAUAACUGUCUCUGUGGCAAGUUAAAAUGGACUGUCAUUUUUGUUGCUGAGUUGUAAGAAUUCUUUAAAUAUUCCGGAAUGAUGUCCUUAUGUAUGACUUGCCAACAGCUUCUCCCAUUCUUUUGUAAUACAGUCUGUUUAUUUGUUUUGGUUGAGACAGGGUUUCUCUGUAGCCCUGACUGUUCUGGAACUCACUCCAUAGACCAGGCUGGCCUUGAACUCAAUAAUCCACCAGCCUCAGCCUCCCUAGUACUGGGAUCAGAGGCCUGCCCUCCCACUGCCCAGCCUGUAAUACAUUCUUGUACAAUAGUUGUUUUGCAGUGGGGGUUUAUACAAACUCCUGUGUAACCCAGGAUAGCCUCAAACUUGUAAUCCUCCUGUCUUAACCAGUGGGAUGAAGGGAUUAUUGGUGUACACUCAUGCCCAGCAGUACACAUCUGUAAUAAAAACAGCUGUCACUUGCCAAAAUCCAAAGGACCAAAUUUUCAGUUUCCUAAUUUCCAGUACAACAGCCUGACAUUCCUAUGAAUUAAGAAGUUUAGGAUCAGCUGGGCAGUGGUGGCACACUUGUUUAAUCCCAGCACUCAGGAGGCAGAGACAGGCAGAUCUCUAUGAGUUCAAGGUCAGCCUGGUCUACAGAGCGAGUUCCAGGACAGGCUCCAAAACUACAGAAAAAUCCUGUCUCGAAAAACCAAAAAGUUGUUUAAGAUCCUUGGAACACAGUUUAUACCAGUUCCUCUCAGUUCUCUGCGCCAACCAUGCAUGGCUUGCAGUCCCUACGAGAAAUUUAAAUAUCUAUUGAGAUCGUUCUGCUGUUUAGGCUUUGGAAUAAAUACGUUCCCACUGAAAUAAAAAUGGUAUUAGUUACUUCAUAAGCAACAGAUGUUGAUAAGUACCUGGAAUACAUUUUUUUUUCCGGUCAUUGGGACUGAACUCAUUUAAUCCAGUGAACUCAGAGAUUAUUUUUCUAUUGUUGGUGGAAUUUUAGGGAGAAGAAAACUACAAUGUUCACAAUUCAGAUACUCUAGACCACAUCUCAUAGCCAGCCAGACAAUUAGGAGUAGGUCUGAUUACCGUUCAUAGUUUAGUUAGUUUAUUAGGUCUUUCAUUAGUAUAGUUUGAUGUUUUGAGAUGAGGUCUCUGUGUUGCCUAGGCUGGCUGCAAACUCUUAGGCUCAAGCAAUCCUCCUGCCUCAGCCUCUUGAGUAUCUAGAGAAAAAAGCACUUGUUAUUUUAUUUUUUUCUUGGGUUUCUGUCUUAGUCACUGUCACUUAGUUGCUGUGACGAGAUGUCGUGACCAUGGUAACUUAGAAAGGAGAUCAUUUACCUGGGCACGCCUUUAAUCCUAGCACUCAGAAGGAAGGCAGAGGCAAAUGGAUCUCUGUGAGUUUGAGGCCAGUGUGGUCUACAGAGUGGAUUCUAGGACAGGGUCCAAAGCUACAGAGAAACCCUGUCUCGACAGACAAUGCCUCACCAAAUUCACCGCUAGACAGCCAGCCCCAACAGUCAGAGCAGUGCGCAAGCACUGAUGGAAGCAGACACCAGAAGUGGCCUCAGGUGCCAGCUUCCUGUCCGCUGGCAAGGCAAAUGGCACCUGGUAGACAUGAGCUCCAACCUGUACCACUGGUAGCUGCUUGGCCAGCCUACGAUCACUCCAAGGCCUGGGAAACCAAAAGAGCGAAAUUACCAUAUUCCUUCCCAGCUGGUCUGGUCUGUCAGAGAACCACAGCCUGGUGGAGCCAGAGGUGCUUGCUUGGCCUGUACUGCUACCUUGCAGCUAAGACUGGAGUGCCAUCUUGGAAUAAUGCUAGAACUUGACACUGAAUUCCAGGGAAUGAGACAUUAUUUCCUUUAUCAAAUGGGGUAAAGUAAUUCAUUCACAUUUUCUAAACUAUUAUCCAAUUAGCUUUUUUGAACUUACCUUUACUACAACCUAAAGUCAUUGACAUAUACAUUUUAAGUUUACAACCUUGCCAUCAUCACAAGAUAACAUUUAUUGGAUGAUAAAUUGCACAUCAAAUGCACACAGUCACAGUUGAGAGACUCCAAUCUAGAGCUAAGACCAAUGGGAAUGUGUCAGAAACAGUAAAGCUGAAAGAAACACACAAAGUGCAUACGGAAAGCAUUAACUAGGUAUCAAAAUAAAUAGACAUGGUAAAGUACUUUUAGGUUUCUAUAAAUGAAUUAGGUUGUAUCCCCGUUCUCCCUACACCGUUCUUACAGACAAGAAUCUCAAUUCAAAGAGACAAACACCUGUAGUUAGCCUUAAAGAGAUAGAUAAUAGUCAUUUUAUAUCACAUAAAUAGUUCUAAUAUACAAGACUAAAACAGUUAAAUAUACACUUAAUAAACAAUUUCCCAUUUUAACAAAUAGUCAAAGCAAAAGCAGUUUCCUAAUGAAAUCUCUGCAACAUUCAAAAUAGAUUUUUUUUCAUAAAAGCUAUAUCCUACAUCUCCCUUUGAAUACAUAUACAGUAAAUCAGAUUAUUUAAAGCAAAGUCUAUCUUUUCAGAUUGUUUGGCAUCUUACAUUACAGUCACCAGACACUACUAAAUUUUUUUAAAUAAUUUUUUAUGAUUACUUUAUGUGCAAUGGAGUGAAAGUGUCAGAUCACCCAAGAACUGGAUUUACAAUCACUUAUGAGCUGCCAUGUGGGUGUUGGGCAUUGAACCUGGGUCCUCUGGAAGAGCAGUUGGUGCUCUUAACCUCCCAGCCAUCUCUCCAGCUACUACUACUUAAUUUUCUGGAACUUGAGGAGUCAAAGACAAAAAUGCCAUUUGUUUUAACUGCCUGAGUUACUGAGCUGGCUGUCUUCAGGGUCGCAGGGCAUGUGAACAGAUUGUUAUUUGUAGCAGCACAGUUCUCGACAAAAUGAUUCAACAACACAAUCUGUACAAACACUGGCAUCUAACUUCCACUGGGAAAUGCUGUUGUCAUCAAUGAUGACAGUUUAACACAACUUGGUAUGCACAGAAUCAUAUUAAAGAACUGUUUUGAUCACAUUUCUAUCAUGGCAUUAGCAAAACCCACGAAGUCUGAGUUCAUUUUUUCAGUACAAGUUGCCACACUUCAUGGUGUCAACACCCCCUCCUACAACAUGUAGUUAGCCGACUGUUCAGAGGGUCAACACCCCUCCUACAACAUGUAGUUAGCCGACUGUUCAGAGGGUCAACACCCCUCCUACAACAUGUAGUUAGCCAACUG